rnacentral:rRNA from 1 species
UACAGAGGUCUCAAGCGUUGUUCGGAUUCAUUGGGCGUAAAGGGUGCGUAGGUGGCGGGGCAAGUUUGGUGUGAAAUCCCGGGGCUCAACCCCGGAACUGCACUGAAUACUGCCUUGCUUGAGCACUGGAGAGGGAACUGGAAUUUACGGUGUAGCAGUGAAGUGCGUAGAUAUCGUAAGGAAGACCAGUGGCGAAGGCGAGUUCCUGGACAGUUGCUGACACUGAGGCACGAAGGCUAGGGGAGCAAACGGG